UUCGCCUCAUACGACGACGUGUCGUUGAUCAAACCUUAAACCCCUUGUGCCUGUUUCUUCAAUGGCUGAUGUUUCUAGGGUUUUAGGACAAUCUCUCCCCUUCCCCUAAUUUCAAUUUUCUUUGCAAAACCCUAACUUGAUGAACACUCAUGCCGUCUCCUUAUUUUCUCUCUCUAUUUUCCCAUCCACCAAACACUUCCUCAAAUGCGCUUUUGUUCAAUUAUCCCAUCAUCACUUGCUCACUCUCUCAAAUUCAAAAUUUGCUCAUUUUUUCAUUUCCCUACAUUUAAAUUCUCCUCUUACUCUGCUCUCAAACUACAACAAACCAUUGAAGAAACCCACACCCAUUAUUACAACUACAAAGACUUGCAACAAAUUUUGCGAAAUUUUGCAUCUUCUGGUGACUUUGCACAAGCUUUUCACACUUUAACUUUCAUGAGGAACACCAUACCCGGAAAGCCCACUCUAUAUGAUUGUAAUUCUUUACUUUUUCAUUAUCUCAAAUCUACCAAUAAUGUUUCUGUUAAUGUAGUGCUGGAGUUUUAUCUGAGUAUGAAGAGAGUUGGUCCGAACCCGGAUGCUUUCACUUUUAAUACUCUUUUUAAUGGUUUGUUAUCAUUUGGGUACCUUAAAGAUGCAAUCUUUAUUCUUGACGAGAUGCGUGCUAAUGGGUUUGUGCCUUCAGUUUCGGUUUUUUCGAAAUUGCUGAAAAAAUCACUUGAAUUGGAGUGUUUGAUGGAUUCGAUUUGUGUUUUUGAGACUAUGAUGAUGUCUGGUUAUGUUCCUAAUAAAUCCACUUUUAACUUGAUGAUUUGUUUGUUAUGUAAAGCUCGUAUGGUUCGUGAAGCCUACUUUGUGUUUUUGGUUCUUUUUAAUAAAGGUUGUUUUUUUGGUGUAUAUACUUUUAAUCCUAUUUUAUGGGCUUUCUGUAAGUUCAAUCAAACUCGUACCGCUAUGCAAUUGUUUUGCUCGAUGAAGAAGAGAGGUGUUGUGUACAAUGUAUGUUCAUAUACUGCUUUGAUUUAUGGAUUUUGUAGAGAAGGUUUGGCGGAGGAUGCUUUACGGUGUUUAGAAGCGAUGAAAGGUAUUGGCUGUAAGCCCAAUGUUAUAUCGUACACAGUUGUUAUUAAGUUUCUCUGUGAUACUCAAAGGAUUAAUGAGGCGAUGAGAAUUUUUUGUGAGAUGGACAGCGAAGGAUGUCAUCCUGACUUGCAGACGUACAAUGUAAUUCUGCGGGAACUUUGUCAUCAAGGUAGAGUACCUGAAACUCUUGAGCUCAUUCAGAUCAUGGAUCAAAGGGGAUUUUGCCCUGAUUCAUUCACGUAUGCUUCCUUAGCUGGAAGCCUGUUGAAAAAUGGUAAAGUUGAGUUGGCUUAUGAUUUGUUGCUUGAUGCACUCUCUAAAGGCUGUGUAGAUGUUGCUGUUUACAAUCUAUAUCUCCAUUGUUUGUGUCUUCAAAACAGAUCUAAAGAAGCUUUCAUUGUAUUGACCCGUAUGAUAGGAGAAGGUUUCGUGCCAACUAAUGUGUCAUAUAAUACAAUUAUAAAUGGUUUUUGUAAAGAAUAUGGUGCCGAUAAGGGUUUUGAGCUCCUUGACCAUUUUAAGUGGGAAGGGAAGGGGCCUGACGUUUGUUCCUUCAAUCCAAUUUUAUGUAUGGCCUGCAGACAGGAAAAUUCCAUUUUGAUACAGAAAAUCCUGCGUAGGAUGGAGUAUGAAGGUAUUAAGUGUGAUGUUGUUAGUUCAAUUUCUCUGAUCAAUUAUCUCUGUGGAGUUAGGAAAUUUUCAGAAUGUUUAAAGCUAUUAGAAACUGUGAUGCAUAGUGGUAUUGGUCCAACAGAAAUUACUUUUUUUAAUAUGGUAUUGAGCAAGCUAUGCAAGAAGGGGUUAAUAGGAACUGCUCUCCGGAUUUGUAAGCAAGCUAAAAGUACUAGACCAGUAACAUGCUAAUUGAUCUUGUUUUGGAAUAUGCUACAAGAUAAUGAUACAAGUAUGUUAUCAUUAGAAUCCUACCGUCUCCCCAUAGUUUGGAGUUCUCUCCAGAUUCUGAACUGGAGAGUGCCUACUUUCCGUAUUUACUUGGCGGUGACAAAACUUGGAUGAAGAUAACUUGGAGAAAUUGCCACCAGAAUCUAACUCUAAGAACAAUGAGGCGCAGUAUUAUCGUUUCUGUGGAACAUAGCAGACAGUUAGACUCAAAGUCUGAAAACAGGAUUACUUUUGAACAGGUACCAUUCAGAUGUUUGGGGAAUGGAUAAACCACUAGCCAAAUGUAACAGAUGCUGAUUGUCAAAUCAAGAAGUACUUGUUAUCAUUCAGAGCCAUGUCUUAAGUUCAGCUGUCUUGGCAGAAAGUUACGAAUCUGCAGAUCGUCUUGAACUCGGAUUUAUCAUGACUUCUGGUUCGAAGUACUCGCUGCAUGGAGACUGCAAAAGCUAGAACAUGAUGACGACUUGUGCCUUAUAGACCUCCCAAAAGUAAUCAAUUUCUACAUAUUCCUAUCAGGAUAAGCUUUAAGUGCUAUUUAUUUUCACCAUUUCAAAUCGAACUGAAUCAAUUUUAUCUGGUUGGUUCUAUUAUUUGGUUUGUUGGUUUUUUUAAACUGAUAUCAAUUAAAUUCUUUAUAUUGAAUCUUAA